GAAAUGCGAUAAGUAAUGUGAAUUGCAGAAUUCAGUGAAUCAUCGAAUCUUUGAACGCACAUUGCGCCCGCCAGUAUUCUGGCGGGCAUGCCUGUUCGAGCGUCAUUUCAACCAUCAAGCCCCCGGCUUGUGUUGGGGACCUGCGGCUGCCCGCAGGCCCUGAAAAACAGUGGCGGGCUCGCUGUCACACCGAGCGUAGUAGCAUACAUUCUCGCUCAGGGCGUGCUGCGGGUUCCGGCCGUUAAGCGACCUUCAUAACCCAAGGUUGACCUCGGAUCAGGUAGGAAGACCCGCUGAACUUAAGC
rnacentral:misc_RNA from 1 species